GAUUAUCCCACUCCUCAUUACCACCUACUGAGACUUGAAAAGAAUUCUGCUAGAGAUAUCUAGUGAAAGUUUUAGAUAGAUAGAUAUAGAUAUAGAUAUAGAUAUAGAUAUAGAUAGAUAUAGAUAGAUGGAAAAUACAAGCCUUUUUUCUUCCUUUACAUCUUAGGAGUAUAAAGAUGAGAUAUUUAGACCUACUGUGAUCAUGUUCUAAUUAAAGUUAACUAACAGUCUUAAUAUUGAGUGAAAAGAACCUGGAUUUUGAUUAGGUCAUAAAAAUAUUAACUUGGAAUUUUAACCUUGAGCCUGCCUUAACUCCAGACUUUUUUAUCAUGCCAAGUAAUAAAUUCCUUAUUAUUUAAGAUAAGUUGAGCUGGUGUUUAAUAUUAAUUGAAGCUGAUAUUCCUAAUAAGUUUAAUUCACAUUAUAGUUGGCUUUUAUUUUUUCAAGCUUCUUCUUUUACCAGUGUAAUAGUAGAAGGAAAGACCAGAUCAUCUACUGAAGCAUCUUUGGAUAGACAUUACAAAGAAUAACACACACCAAGGCCUACAUAAAUGUUGAUUUUAAAGGAAUAUAAAAAAACAAACAAAAAACGUAAAGUUUUGCCAAAAAGCCAGUAAGAAAUUUUAAUAGUUCAUAAAAUGUUUAUUUUAUUCUUAAAGAAAUAAAGUCCCUCCCCCCAAAUACUGACUACAUUCUUAUGAUUUUGGCAAACUCUUUUCUUUCUCACAGUGAUCAAAAUUCCAAAUUCAUAGCAUAUUAAUUGAUAAUUUUGUUCUGUACACUAAAUUGUUAGUUAUAUUAUUACUAGCAUCUCUUUCAUAUCUUUUGUAUAUUCCUUAUUUCAUGCUUCACUUAAACUAGCUGGAUUAAUUUCAUUAAUCUCUAUCAAAAUAAGCAAGAAGUAAAAUAACUCUUUGUUUUAAAGUCCAUCAAAUAGAAAUUAAAAUUUAAUAUCUGGGUUUUUGUCAAACAUUAGUUAGUCAUGGCAAUUUCAUUUCAUUGCAAAUGUUUGCAAUUAAAGUCCAGUAGUAAUGGUAUUCCUUUAUUUAUUGAGAUUAAAAAUGUACUAUAUGCAAAAUUCUGAAAUUCUUUUCAUCUUUCUGAAUGUUUUAUAAACAAGGAGUGCUAGUGAACUAGGUGGGAAAAUAGAAGACAAGUGAAAAUAGUCUUUCAAGAGAAAAAAAGAGCUCACUUGUGCCCAAUGCUUCAGAAGUCAAAGGAAUUAGAUUAAGAACUAACUAUGGGGGGAAGGUUGAAGAAGAUGGUGGUGGAGGAGGACCCUAGGCUUGCCUCAUUCCACAAACACAACUAAAUAGCUAUUAAAUCAUCCUAAAUACCCCAGAAAUCAAUCUGAAGACUGGCAAAACAAACUUUACAACUAACAGUAGAGGAGAAACCACAUCAAAGAAGGUAGAAAAUGCAGAGAUGCAGCUUAGAAGAGAAACAAAUCAUGGCUGGGACAGUGUGGAGUAAGCCAUGGUUACGAAGAAGGGUAAGAGACAAACUAGUACACAGGGGAGCAUAUGGGAUAAACAAAUCCUUACCACAUUAGGUGUAGGAAGCAAGCGGGACUGAAUUUUCUGAGUUCUAGCAACCAAUUUCUGAGUUCUAGCCUAAAGCCUGAAGUUUUAAUGGUCAGCAGGCUUGGCUCUGGGAGAGCUCCAAGGACAUAGUGGCUGCUCUUGGAAGGAAACCAGGGCAAACAGUCUGGGAACAUACAGACUGAAAACAGCACUCUAAAGAUCAUUAGGGGCACACAUGAGGGAGGUUAGUAGCUCAUCUUCGACUAUGUCCCGCAGAAGAAACUUUCAUGGAGAGACCCCUCCAGAAACAAAGGAACUAGAAGGCACCAUUUCCCUCCCCAACCUCUCAGCAUAAGCAUAGGGACACCUGUGGGAAGCAACAUAACAUUCACUACCUAACUUGCUUAUACCAAUCCUCACCCCUAUCCUGCUCUAGAGAACUACUGGGAACUACCUUUCCCAGUUAUACUUCCCUCAGUACCAUAGUGAGCUUCCUCUUCGAGAAGCCUAGCCCAAACUCUUGCCUACAUCAUGUUUCUUGACAUGGGAGUUUUGCAAGACCUCGGUUCCAGUGGCAGCAGCAAUGGAACUGAGUCUCAUUUCACAAGCAGACGAGAGCAUAACUAGUUAAAACUCACCACAUUCAGGGCAAGGACAAAACAUUGCCCACAAUGGGCAAAGGAAACCUCUAUAUGACUGGCCUACAGAAUAAAGCAGCCAGGUCACAACAGCAGAGUACACACUAGAAACACUCCAGAAAUUCCAGGCACUGGGGAACAGGGGACACUAUACUAUAUACUAUACUGCAGGGCACUACAGGAUCUCUUGUUCAUAAAGCCAUUACCCUCAAGAACAAGAGACAUAGCUGACUUUAAUAACUCAGAGAAACAGGCACAGAGACUUAGACAAAAUGAGAAGACAAAGGAUUUUGUGAAAAAUGAAAGAACAAGAUGAGGCCAUGUUUGGAGAUCUAAGUGAAACAGAUUAAGUAACACCUGAUGGAGAAUUUAAAGCAAUGGUCAUAAGGAUAGUCACUGGACUUCAGAAACGAGUGGAGGACAUCAUGAGUCCAUUAACACAGAGAUAAGGAAAGACAUAGCAGAGAUAAGGGGCUCAAUAAACAAAAUGAAAAACAUACUUGGAAUGAACAGCAAGCUGUAAAAAGCAGAGGAAUGAGUUAAUAAUAACCUAGAAGACAGAAUAAUGUAAUCAAGCUGAAGAAAAGAGAGAAAAAAGAAUUAUGCAAAACAACAAACUUAUGGAACUCAGUGACUCCAUUAAACACAAUAACAUUUGCAUUAUAGGAAUCAGAGAAGAAGAGAAAGGAAAGGGGACAGAGGAUUUAUUUAGAGAAAUAAUAGCUGAAAACUUACUUAAACUGGGGAAUGAAACAGAUAUCCAGAUCCAGGAGGCAAAGAAUCCCCAACAAAAUCAACAAAGGUAGAUCCACAACAGAAUAUGUUGUGAUUAAAAUGGCAAAAAUAUAAUGGAUAAUAAAGAAAAGAUAUUAAAAGCAGCAAGACAAAAAACAGUUAUGUACAAAGGAAACCCCAUAAGAUUAUCAGCAGAUUUUUCAGCAGAAACUUUCCAUGCCAGAAAGUAAUGCCAUGAUAUAUUCAAAGUGCUGAGUGGAAAAAUCUGCAGCCAAAAAAUAUUCUAUCUAGCAAGACUACCAGUCAGAGUUUUGAGACAAAUAAAACUAAAGGAGUUCAUGACCACUAAGCCAGUCCUGCAAGAAAUACUGAAAGGGACUCUUCUAAGGGGAAACGAGAGACCAAAAGUGACACUAUAGAGCUAAAAAGCCACACAAGAGGGGGCGGGGCAAGAUGGCGGAAGAGUAGGGUCCCCAAAUCACCUGUCUCCACCAAAUUACCUAGAAAACCUUCAAAUUAUCCUGAAAAUCUACGAAUUCGGCCUGAGAAUUAAAGAGAGACCAGCUGGAAUGCUACAGUGAGAAGAGUUCGCGCUUCUAUCAAGGUAGGAAGACGGGGAAAAAGAAAUAAAGGAACAAAGGCCUCCAAGGGGGAGGGGCCUGCGAGGAGCCGGGCUGAGGCCGGGGGAGUGUCCCCAGGACAGGAGAGCCCCGUCCCGGAGGAGCAGGAGCUGCACCGACCUUCCCGGGGGAAAGGGGCUCGCGGGGAGGUGGAGCAGGACCCGGGAGGGCGGGGAUGCCCUCGGGCUCCCCGGGACAGUAACAGACACCUGUGCCCCGGGAGAGCGCCCCGAGCUCCCUAAGGGCUGCAGCGCGCACGGCGGGACCCGGAGCAGCUCGGGGGGGCUCGGGGGCGGCUCCGCGGAGGGGGCUGCGCGGCCCCGGGAGCAGCGCAGGGCGCCAGGACACAGCCCAGGAUCCGGCCUCCCCGGGGACAGGCAGAGGCCGGGAGGGCCCAGGACAGCAAGGACGCUCCUGCCCCAGCUGAGCAGAUCAGCGGCCCCGCCCCGGAGCCUCCAGGCCCUGCAGACGGAGAGCUCCGGAGUUCCUGCGGGGGCUGACUCCAGGGCUCCAGAGCUGCCGCCACCGUGGUUGUUCCUCCUGGGGCCUCACGGUUUAAACAACCCCUGAGCCCUGCACCAGGCAGGGGGCAGAGCAGCUCCCCCAACUGCUAACACCUGAAAAUCAGCACAACAGGCCCCUCCCCCAGAAGACCAGCUAGAAGGACAAGUUCCAGGGGAAGUCAACGGACUUAAAGUACACAGAAUCAGAAGAUACUCCCCCGUCGGUUUUUUGUUUUUUGUUUUGUUUUGCUUUUUGAUUUGUUUGCUUCCCCCACCCUUUUUUUCCCUUUCUUUCUUUUUCUUUCUCUUUUUCUUCUUUUUUUCUUCCUUUUUUUCCUCUUUCUCUUUUCUUUCCUUCUUUCUCUCCUCUCUUUUUCUCCUUUUACCAAUACAACUUGCUUUUGGCCACUCUGC
rnacentral:lncRNA from 1 species